rnacentral:rRNA from 1 species
AUGGUGGCGGAGGGGGAGGAAAAGAAGAAGAUGGUGAUGUUGCGGAGCGAGGACGGCGUGGACUUCGUGCUGUCAGAGGCAGAGGCCGAGGCCCAUUGCGGCAGGAAAAUCAAAAUAAUGAUGAAGCACGACUUCGAGAACCACGUCAUCCCUUCCGACGACGGCGGCGGCGGCGAAAUCAAGUACUGCCUCAUCCGCCUCUCCGUCUGA